rnacentral:rRNA from 1 species
UAAUGUCUGGGAAACUGCCUGAUGGAGGGGGAUAACUACUGGAAACGGUAGCUAAUACCGCAUAACGUCGCAAGACCAAAGAGGGGGACCUUCGGGCCUCAUGCCAUCAGAUGUGCCCAGAUGGGAUUAGCUAGUAGGUGGGGUAACGGCUCACCUAGGCGACGAUCCCUAGCUGGUCUGAGAGGAUGACCAGCCACACUGGAACUGAGACACGGUCCAG